CGCGCACACUGCACUCCUUCCCCUGGCAGGUGGGCGGCGGGGCGAGCGGAGAGGCCCGCGGGGCGAGCAGAGAGGCCCGCGGGGCUCGCGGGAGUCCAGGGGCAGACGGGAUGGGUCUCCGUGCUGAAACCCCCGGCGCUCCGGCCACAGCUUAGAGGCAAAGUUAAGAGACUCAUCAGAUUCUGAGCUGCUGCGGGAUAUUUUGCAGAAGACUGUGAGGCAUCCUGUGUGUGAAGCACCCGCCGUCAGUCAAGUAUGCCCGGUGCUUUCUCUCAGAACUCAUCAAAAAGCACGAGGCUGUCCACACGGAGCCUUUGGACGAGCUGUAUGAGGCGCUGGUGGAGACCCUGAUGGCCAAGGAGUGCACCCUGGGCCACUGGAGCUAUUUGCUGCCCUCGGAAGGGUCGGUCACAUUCUCCGAGAGCACAGCCAUCAUCUCCCACGGUACCACAGGCCUGGUCACAUGGGACGCCGCCCUCUACCUUGCAGAACGGGCCAUCGAAAACCCGGUAGCCUUCACUAACAGGUGACCUUGGGGCACAGGGCAGCCGCAGUCUACCUUGCAGAAUGGGUCAUCGAGAACCCGGCAGCCUUCACUAACAGGACGGUCCUAGAGCUUGGCAGUGGCGCCGGCCUUACAGGCCUGUCCGUCUGCAAGAUGUGCCACCCCCGGGCAUACAUCUUCAGCGACUGUCACAGCCGGCUCCUCGAGCAGCUCCGAGGGAAUGUCCUUCUCAAUGGCCUCUCAUUAGAGGCAGACAUCACUGCCAACUUAGACAGCCCCAGGGUGACAGUGGCCCAGCUGGACUGGGACGUAGCGAUGGUCCAUCAGCUCUCUGCCUUCCAGCCAGAUGUUGUCAUUGCAGCAGUAACCUGAAGCUUUCACCGUAGACUUGCUGUAUUGCCCAGAAGCCAUCGUGUCACUGGUCGGGGUUCUGUGGAGGCUGGCUGCCUGCCAAGAGCACAAGCGGGCUCCUGAGGUCUACAUGGCCUUUACCGUCCGCAACCCAGAGACGUGCCAGCUGUUCACCACGGAGCUAGGCUGGGCUGGGAUCAGAUGGGAAGCGGAAGCUCAUCAUGACCAGAAACUGUUUCCCUACGGAGAGCACUUGGAGAUGGCAAUGCUGAACCUCACACUGUAGGACUCACACACGACUCCAACGGGAUUGUGAGAAUCAAGUCACUCUCGUGGGAAGAAUUUUUAUAUGAGAAAGGGGAUAAAACUUUCAUUGGACUGGAAUGUUUGGAGAAUGUUAAAUUCCAAAUCAGGAACCACAAACUGCCCUCUAAUAAGACAUCGGCUAUCUAAGCGUGUGGGUGCCCCCUUUCUGCCAGCAGUUCUGGUUCUUAAGAAAAUCACCAUAAAUCAGACAUGAAAAUUCUGGCUCCAAAAAUAGCAUUUUCUUUGUGCAAAUAAAAACGUGUGUAUCAACUAUGACGUUCCCCCACGUGGACACACUCGGUUCCUCAUAAAACCAAGCCUGCUGCAGCUGCCACAUCCCUGGACACAUUCGAUUCCUCACAAAGCCAAGCCCGCUGCAGUUGCCACAUCCCCGGACACACUCGGUUCCUCACAAAUCUAAGCCCGCUGCAGCUGCCACAUCCCUGGGCUUAUGGUGCAGCAGGUGCUUUUUUCAAGACAGGAAUCAAAGUGUUAGGAACAUGGAAGAAAGGUGACACCUGGAGACCAAAUGCAGGAUUGGGAGUACUGUAGAGGUCACAGGGAAGUCACAGAACAGUAAUAUGCUAGCAGGGGCAUGGGGCGUGAAGAACAGAAGACAGGAAGCGUUUCGGAGACUCCAAAGAAGAAAUCAGGGCCAACCACAGCUUCCCGGGUCAUUCACCAGGUGGCACCACUGCCGUCAUUUCAGCUUCUGGCCACUGGGAGGCGCUGCUCAAAAGGAUUUGCCCUGAGACUCCAAGAAGAAGCUGUGGGAAGGACAGCAGGGGCCCUGGGGUUUUAGCCUCUGGCCCAGGAGUUAUGUGUCCAUAACCAAAGGGAGCACAGUCUGCACCCAGCUCUCAUCCCAUCAGAGCUGCUGAGACUCCCGCAGGUUCUUCCAGAACUGGUUUAGCUUGCCUGCAGGAUCAGGAAAGUUUGAGAAAGGCAUCUGCAAAAUACUAAAGAGCAGAGCUUACCUCAUUGCCUGUCCCCACCCCAUCCCAGGUCACCACCUGGAUGACCCCAGCUCCCCGACCCAACAACAACCCCUCCCAAGUCCCUAACUCCCUCACUUGGACUUGAGACCCUUCACACCCCAGCAGCGCUCUGCCUCCAACUUGACAUCAUGCUUUCUGGAAACUUCCCCGUAUGUCCCACUUUCCCACACUUGGUGCGCUGGAGCACCUUCCGGCCUCCACAUGCUGUACGUUCCCCUGUGAGCACCGUCCUCUCAGCCUCUGGCCAACACAGUCCCACCCAUCUGUGGGUAACAAGGGGGUGUGGGUGUUCUUUACAGCCUUGCUAAACUGUCUGAA
rnacentral:lncRNA from 1 species